AUAAGAAAAGAGCAAUACUUUUUAUCUGACUUCCUUGUACAUAGGCUCUGCCUUAAUUUAUCUUAUAUAAGGGUGGUUUCAUUAUACAACAAUUUUAAAAAAUAUAUUUCUAUUUAUACUUUAAAUUUGAAAAUCUCUGAUUUAACAGUACACGAUAUAAAUCUUAGUUAAACUACAUUAAAACAAAUGACAAUAAACAGCCAUUGCAAUCAGGAGUUAAUAUUGAAUGACUUAAUGUUACAUAUUCUAUUACAUAUUUUUCAGAAGAAAGUAGAACGUGUGAACAAAAAUCAGUCGCCUUCAAAUUUUUUGUAUGAAGAAGAAAGCGACAGUACCCAGCCACCUUCAGACAUAUCAACCCAGCCACCUUCAGAUUAUGAAACAGUAACAUAUCCACACAGCCACCUUCAGAUACUGACAUCAACAAUAAUUUGAAUAGAUACAGUACAGAUGAGGAUGAUGAUGAUGAAGAAAUAUUUGUAGUUUCUUUGACAAAAGAGGAAAUUGAAAACAGAGAUUUGGUUCCAGAUUCAUAUUGUCCAUCUUGUGGAGCGUUAAGAUAUAUCAAAAGAUCUGCACUGCAGACUGUAAAAAAU